rnacentral:lncRNA from 1 species
UUGUGAGGAAAAUUACCCUGCUGAGUUUGAAUGGCAGAAUAGCAUUAAGAGUAUGCACCUAAUUUUUUUCUUAAAUCAACCAAACAGAAAAUCCACAAUGAGGAUGAUCUUGUAAUUACACACGUCAGAACAGAAAGCGUGAUAGUUUGCUCAGUUUUCCUUGAAUGCUCUUUUAGAAGAAUUUGGAAGGAGAAAGGGAGGGAAAAGUUUAUUGUAAAUCAACUUUGGCAUGAAACUUUUGUAAAAAUGUGCCCAACACGCAUUACAUUCUUUUUUCUGUGUUUUUCCUACAUAUAAAACCUUGACAACCUGCUAUUCUAUGAUUGAUGCACUUAUUUCUUCUAAAGUAUCACUAACCAAGCAUAUCAUUUUUAUACAGUAAGUGUAUAUUCAAUUUCCUACAGUUUGACUGCUAAACAGGCUUAGUACUAAAACAAAUAUACACUGUCACAGUGUACUGUUAAGAGGGAUCAACUGAAAAUCUUGGAAUACUUUUUAUUUGUUUUCUUUGCUUUUAGUGGCAAUGAAAUCACAGGAGGGGCAAAUGCUAAAUAUCUAUAUUUUUAUAAAAGUUGUAUUGGCAUUGGGUUCAGCCUGCAACUACUGCAGACUUUAUGCAAUGUUAAUAGAAUAUUACGAUUCAUAUAUUCUUGCACAAUAAGACAGAAUGACAUAUCAGGUUUGCAGGCUCUCCUGACAAGGUAUGAGGUAUUUAUCUGUGUUUUUAUACCACACUCUUAUCAGCGUAGUAUCUGAAUGACUAUUGACAUCAUUAUCAUUCAUGUAUUUAUAAAACAUGUAGGGGUCUUCCAGUUACAUAGCUAUAUUCUACAGACUAUGAAGUUGCUCCUUCAGAGUGUGAAAGGAAACACAAACUGAAGAAAAGGAAUUCAAACUCCAGUUGGCUUAGCAUUGGAUCCCUGGCACUCCUGGACCAGGCGGGAGGAUAAUGGAUCUGUGAGAAUUCAUGUACGUUUAUGAUGUACGAGGCAUUUCAGCUGACAUUGAAUCAGUGGACAUGUGGUAGUGGUGCAAUGUGCUUGCUCAGCUCACAGCAUCCAAAGCAGCACUUCAGGACACACUUGCACCAUUCAAAGGAUGGAACGGUCCCAAGGAAGCUCAAGGUGAGAUUUUCAUUUUUGCCUUAAUUGCUGAAUGAACCUACAAUGGAUGAUUCAUCUAUUUGUGUUCAAGAUUGAGUCCCUGGUGGGGAAGAAAAUGACAUUUUCCUCUGUCCCCAUUCCACAGAGGUUCUUGCAGCCCAGUGCUUAGCCACAGCAGCUGGAAUGAGCUCAGCCACCAGGCAUUGCAUUCAUCCUCCCUGCCCCUCAAAAGCUGCACUUUCUCCCUGAUUAUACACCUCUAAUGAACAAAGACCACAAACUAGGUCCCUUUCCCAGGUUCUUCUUUCUCUGGUAACAAGUGGCUGUUACAAUUAAUCUAAAGAAAUUCCUCUUGGACUCUCUGUUCAGUGUUUCCCCCUUGUCACAAACCAAGCCACCCUGUGCUGUAAAACAGAUAACUGAACAUUUUUAUGAUCAGGUUUUUAAAACAUUUUUAAACUUCCCCUCCAUCCCCCUCCCAAGCCUUU